rnacentral:rRNA from 1 species
AACGUCUCAGUUCGGAUUGUAGUCUGCAACUCGACUACAUGAAGCUGGAAUCGCUAGUAAUCGCGAAUCAGCAUGUCGCGGUGAAUACGUUCCCGGGUCUUGUACACACCGCCCGUCACACCAUGAGAGUUGGCAACACCCGAAGUCGGUAGUCUAACCGCAAGGAGGACGCCGCCGAAGGUGGGGUUGAUGAUUAGGGUUAAGUCGUAACAAGGUACC